rnacentral:misc_RNA from 1 species
GGAAGUAAAAGCCGUAACAAGGUUUCCGUAGGUGAACCUGCGGAAGGAUCAUUAAAGUUAUAGUCCCCCGGCCCUCUGGGCUGGGGUCUUCUAUACCACCCUUUGUUUAUUACACCUUUGUUGCUUUGGCAGGCCUGCCCUCGGGCUGCUGGCUCCGGCCGGCUCGCGUCUGCCAGAGGACCUAAACUCUGUUUGUAUAUGAAGUCUGAGUACUAUAUAAUAGUUAAAACUUUCAACAACGGAUCUCUUGGUUCUG